AUCGGGACAGACUAACAGGAUUCCCCUAGUAACUGCGAGUGAAGCGGGAAAAGCUCAAAUUUAAAAUCUGGCGGUCUAUGGCUGUCCGAGUUGUAAUCUAGAGAAGUGAUGCCCGCGCUGGACCGUGUACAAGUCUCCUGGAAUGGAGCGUCAUAGAGGGUGAGAAUCCCGUCUCUGACACGGACUACCAGGGCUUUGUGGUAUGCUCUCAAAGAGUCGAGUUGUUUGGGAAUGCAGCUCUAAAUGGGUGGUAAAUUCCAUCUAAAGCUAAAUAUUGGCGAGAGACCGAUAGCGAACAAGUACCGUGAGGGAAAGAUGAAAAGAACUUUGGAAAGAGAGUUAAACAGUACGUGAAAUUGCUGAAAGGGAAACGCUUGAAGUCAGUCGCGUUAGCUAGGACUCAGCCUCGCUCUUGCGUGGUGUACUUUCUAGUUGACGGGUCAGCAUCAAUUUUGACUGCUGGAAAAAGGUCUUGGGAAUGUGGCAGCUUCGGCUGUGUUAUAGCCCUUGGUCACAUACAGCGGUUGGGAUUGAGGAACUCAGCACGCCGCAAGGCCGGGUUUCGACCACGUUCGUGCUUAGGAUGCUGGCAUAAUGGCUUUAAGCGACCCGUCUUGAAACACGGACCAAGGAGUCUAACAUGCCUGCGAGUGUUUGGGUGGUAAACCCGAGCGCGUAAUGAAAGUGAAAGUUGAGAUCCCUGUCGUGGGGAGCAUCGACGCCCGGACUUGAACUUUUGUGACGGAUCCGCGGUAGAGCAUGUAUGUUGGGACCCGAAAGAUGGUGAACUAUGCCUGAAUAGGGUGAAGCCAGAGGAAACUCUGGUGGAGGCUCGUAGCGAUUCUGACGUGCAAAUCGAUCGUCAAAUUUGGGUAUAGGGGCGAAAGACUAAUCGAACCAUCUAGUAGCUGGUUCCUGCG
rnacentral:rRNA from 1 species